rnacentral:rRNA from 1 species
AGUCAGAUGUGAAAUCCCCGGGCUCAACCUGGGAACUGCAUCUGAUACUGUUGAGCUAGAGUAUGUGAGAGGAAGGUAGAAUUCCAGGUGUAGCGGUGAAAUGCGUAGAGAUCUGGAGGAAUACCGAUGGCGAAGGCAGCCUUCUGGCAUAAUACUGACACUGAGGCUCGAAAGCGUGGGUAGCAAACAGGAUUAGAUACCCUGGUAGUCCACGCCGUAAACGAUGUCUACUAGUCGUUGGGUCCCUUGAGGACUUAGUGACGCAGCUAACGCAAUAAGUAGACCGCCUGGGGAGUACGGCCGCAAGGUUAAAACUCAAAUGAAUUGACGGGGGCCCGCACAAGCGGUGGAGCAUGUGGUUUAAUUCGAUGCAACGCGAAGAACCUUACCUGGUCUUGACAUAUCUAGAAUCCUGCAGAGAUGCGGGAGUGCCUUCGGGAAUUAGAAUACAGGUGCUGCAUGGCUGUCGUCAGCUCGUGUCGCGAGAUGUUGGGUUAAGUCCCGCAACGAGCGCAACCCUUGUCCUUAGUUACCAGCGGGUUAAGCCGGGAACUCUAAGGAUACUGCCAGUGACAAACUGGAGGAAGGCGGGGACGACGUCAAGUCAUCAUGGCCCUUACGACCAGGGCUACACACGUGCUACAAUGGUAGGUACAGAGGGCAGCUACACAGCGAUGUGAUGCGAAUCUCAAAAAGCCUAUCGUAGUCCAGAUUGGAGUCUGCAACUCGACUCCAUGAAGUAGGAAUCGCUAGUAAU